GAAUAAAUAUUCGACAGACAUUUCACACGUCUCUAUAUUUGUACAAAGCGUGUUUAUUGUGAUAAAAUAAUUUCAAUGAAAGUACGCUGGUACAAUACCGGUGAUAUACCUACCCUGAAAAAAGAAUAACAAUAAUAAAACUCGAGGGUUACUUCUUACAAGAUGGCGUUACUAUUGCGACGUUGAGUGGGUCUUGCGUUGGAGAAAAAAUUCUAUUAUCUAAAAAUCUCAGGCAGGAGUGACGGAAUCUGACGCCUUCGAUCCCAAAAACCGCACACACGUCCAUCUGCAGAUCAAUUUCACGGGUCCCCGCAAGUAAUAUCCGGCUGUUAACCAACGAAGAACGGUUUUUUUGGCGGCAGCGGCGGCGGCGGCACGUCGUGCGUGGAUUCGACAAUUUCGAACGAGCUGCUGCGGCGGGUGAGAACAACUCGUCGUCCUUCCCUUCGACGUCCGAUCGGUAAAAUGCUAGAUCACACACUAGCCUGGCUAAAAAGACGACUAGCCACGGCCUCGUCACGUGAUGAUUGCGUCACUCUACUCGAUUGCCCCACACCACCAGCUACGGCGAACCGGGCGGCCAUCUUUACCCAGUAGAAGAACAACGGACGGCAAUAGUUCUGCAGGUGAAGGGUGGGUGCAGCUGGUGGGGGGGAUGUGAACCACAGUUACUGUGAAUGGAACAGGCCUGCCCAAACUACUUGGCAAAGUUGCAACUGUGACGAACAGGCACCGUCAUCCAGAGUAACCAGGGGCACCAGGUGGAUCGAGGCUAGGUGCGAACGUGCAGAGUACUGCCAUUUAGACGCUUGCACGUGACUCUUCCCACGCCCAGUCCGAAUUCUGUAUUUGAAAUAAACGACUAAACGACGGAAGCACGAGAACUUAAGCAGGUAGGUAGGUCAGUAGAGGUUGACCUGCUCACCCCGUUCGCUGGAUUUAAGGGUGCGGAAAAUAAAUCGGAGACUAGUUUUUGGAAUAAAUCUCCAGUUUCUGACUUGGCUUGUGAUGGUACACGCAAGAAACAACGACGGAAGAAAGAAAUGGAGCAGAAACUCGCAGGAGGUGCGAGGGGGCGCAGAAUUACAGGUUGCACCCCUAGUUAGUAACGCGAAGAGGCUAUAAGAGGGAUGCCUGGAUGGAUGACUCUGAUGCACAGUUCAUUAGCGGCUCGAGGAGAGAAGAGGAGAGGUGCCGGACUCUUGCUCGGAAACGAGGCUACCAAUCCGCUCCGCACGCGCUCAAGAGGCCGCAGCCGCGUUUCGUUCCCGCGCGAGUCGCGGUGCCGUGUCAAGAGGUGGAUAGAAAUAAAUUGAAAAGACCUCUGGAUGUGUAUGAGGUGUUUGCGGUAUGUGUUAGAGGCGAGGGAAGAAGACUCGUACCUCGGAUCGUCUUAACUGUAGUACCGCGGAAAGUCCACAUCGCUCAUUGCCGUUUGACACUGUUUCGAAACCGCCGUUUCGCUUCGCCACGUGAAGAGGCGUAUUACGUACAGCGGAGGCGACGGAUUUCGUCACACUUAAAUGUACCCAAUCCUCCGCCAUUAGGAAUAAGUAUAUUAUUUCCUGGUGACGAAGAACUGGCGAAAUUGCACUCUCGGCAGGUUGGCACUAAAAAAACACCACAACACCACGGAAGAACCUGCGAGAUACAUGGACUUCGACAUUUGGCGAUAUAUACGUCAACGUCGAAAUGGACUAGGACACCCUCUUAAGUCAGGAACCCGUUUGUCAUUAAUUCGAUCCGCUGAAAUUCAAAAAUUACGUCUGUAAUAUCGUAGGAUUAACAGCAUGCAGCGAGAAUGCGACGUUUCUUAGCGUUUUCGCUAUUAGAUUGCACGGAAGUCGUGGCCACGCCACAGCCUUAUUCGUAGCUUGCGUAACACCGCAGAGAGUGAUUCCAGAAAUAGGUCAGAGAAUUUUCUCUCGCAAUCUCUUGGAAGCAUGGAGGUAUAGUAUGUCAACUCUGAUGUAAAUAGUCAUGUCCUCGGUUGAUUGCCGGCACGUGUAUUACAUGCAUCCAAAUAGAACAGAUCAAACGGUCGCUAAUGAGCAAUUAGAAAUCCUAUAAUUACCUCUAGGCUUGUACAAAGUUUUUAUAAUUGUCAAACAAACAUCUAACCUAUAGUACAUCCAUUAGUAAAAAUUUGUAACUUCCAGAUGUUCCGAUGCAUACACCUACAAAGAUAAAACAAAAUGAAUUAAAAUAAGAAAACUUAUGACAGGUAUCGCGUAGCACGCGAUGCGUCGUUACACAGAACCGUAUGGUUGGCUUAAGUGAGAUUCAAAAACCCGACGCGGCUGGACUGAUGGUUGUAAAUAUUCCGAUUAUAUGACUGCACA